GGCCAGACUCCUACGGGAGGCAGCAGUGGGGAAUAUUGGACAAUGGGGGGAACCCUGAUCCAGCGACGCCGCGUGAGUGAAGAAGUAUUUCGGUAUGUAAAGCUCUAUCAGCAGGGAAGAAAGAAAUGACGGUACCUGACUAAGAAGCCCCGGCUAACUACGUGCCAGCAGCCGCGGUAAUACGUAGGGGGCAAGCGUUAUCCGGAUUUACUGGGUGUAAAGGGAGCGUAGACGGCGAUGCAAGUCUGAAGUGAAAGGCGGGGGCCCAACCCCCGGACUGCUUUGGAAACUGUAUAGCUGGAGUGCAGGAGAGGUAAGUGGAAUUCCUAGUGUAGCGGUGAAAUGCGUAGAUAUUAGAAGGAACACCGAUAGCGUAGGCAGGUUACUGGGACGGUUCUGACACUAAGGCACGAAAGCGUAGGGAGCAAACGGGAUUAGAUACCCGAGUAA
rnacentral:rRNA from 1 species